UUCUUUUCUUUCUUUCUUGUUUUGCUCUGUCUCCAGGCUGGAGUGCAGUGGUGCAAUCUCAGCUCACUGUAACCUCCACCUCCCAGGUUCAAGUGAUUCUUCUGCCUCAGUCUCCUGAGUAGCUGGGACUAUAGGUGCACACCACCACAUCCAGCUAAUUGUUAUAUUUUUAGUACAGAUAGGAUUUUACCAUGUUGGCCAUGCUGGUCUCGAUCUCCUGACCUUGUGAUCCCUCCCACCUUGGCCUUCUAAAGUGCUGGGAUCUUACUUCUUUUUCUUGCCUAGUUUUCCUAGCUAAAAUAUCCAGUACAAUGUUGAAUAGUAGUAGCAAGAGUGUAUAGCCCUAUCUCCCUUAUGUUAGAGUAAGACAUUCAGUUUUUCACCAAGUAUAAUGUUAGCUGUGUUUCAUAGAUGUCCUUUAUCAAGUUAAAGAAGUUAUAUUCUAUUCCUAACUUACAUUUAUAUCAUGCAAAGUUGUUGGAUUUUAACAGAUGCUUUUUCGUUGUCCAUUGAGAUAAUAAUACAGUUUUGGUUCACUAUUUGAUUCAUGUGCUGUAUUGAUUGCUUUUUAUAUGUUGAAGCAACCUUUCUUCUGGGGUGAACCCACAUUGUGUUGUAUAAUCCUAUUUAUAUGUUGUUGGACCCAGUUUGCUAAUAAUAUUUUGUUACAGAUAAUUUUUGCAUCUAUAUAUAUUAGGGAUAUUGGUCUGUACUUUUAUUUCUUGUGAUAUCUUUGCCUGGUUUUUAUAUCAGGGUAAUAUUGACUUCAUAGAAAAUGUUAAAGGAUUAUUUUUAUAGUGUUUGAGUUGCUGUUUUAGCAUUAAAUGUUUUAAGUAAGACAAUGAUGCUGAAGCUUAGAAUAAGCUUAGAAUCAUUAGAAUCUUAGAUUCUCAGCAAUAGAAUAAUUUUUCAGUGAGCUCAUACCAUAGCAUGAUGAAUGGAUUAGAAAAUGCUGGUGAGACUUGGAGUCUGGGGAACCAGCGAUGAGAUAAUGAAAUGGAAAAGAUAAGCUUCUGAAUUGAGGUUGUGAACAUGAAGACUUAAAGAAGGUGCUAAAAAUAAAAAAUAUUGAAGAGAUAUAUGAUAAAUCUUGUUUCUAUCUGCUUUAACCUGUUUUUCCUUGGUUUUCAAAGGAUAGGUAUACAGACCCUUGAGGUUCUUUUAUUUUUAUUUCUGUUGAUGCUCCUGUUCUCCCUUUCUUUAUAACACAAGUAUUAGGGAAAUUAUUCUCUUUGCCUUUUUAAAGCUGAGAAAAGAUGAAUUUUAGAAAAUAAACUUUUCUGAAGAACUCAUUGAAAACCAAAAGAGAAAUAAGAAAACAUAGUGUGCACAAAAAUGCCUCAAAAUACUAUUAGUCAAACAUAUUACAGGUUUCUGACCCCUCAAUAGCCAAUUCUUAGCAGGCAAGCAAGCCCAGUACAAGGGCCUACCCUAUAAAAGGGUCGAACCUGGGUUAUAGAAGAUGCUUUUUUUUGAGAUGGAUCUCACACUGUCACCUGGGCUGAGCCUUGUGGGCUCACAUGAUUCUCCUGCCUCAGCCUUCUAAGUAGCAAGGAUUAUAGGCACAUGCCACCACACCUGGCUAAUGUUUUUCUAUUUUUAGUAGAGAUGGGUUUCACUAUGUUGGCCAGACUGGUCUCAAACUCCUGACCUUAUGAUCUGCCUGCCUUGUCCUGGGAUUACAGGCAUGAGCUGCCACGCCUGACCAGAAAAUGCUUUUUAUCUGUUGGAUUUACUUUUACCUGCUCUACACAUAGUCUUUUUCUGCCAUUCUGGAAUUCAGAAACUGUGGUCUUAUAUAGCAACGGUGGGGUGUGUGCAUCUACUCAAAGAACUUAUGGGCUAGAAAUUCCAUUCAUUUGUGUAUUUAUCACUAAGGAAUCCUUUAUCUUGUUAUUCCUGAGUUUUCCAGAAAGGAAAUGCAGAAAGUGUUAACUGCAGAGAUGCCAUUCUUGUGGAAGAUCUCUAUAAAGGUGUAGUAUAUACUAGAAACACAAACUAGUGUCCUUUGCUUAAUGCAGGAAAUAUUUGACCAUGCAUGGCUGAUAUAUUUAAAUAUUACAAGUCAUAAUCUUAAACUAAGAUUUAACACACAGAUUUGAAUUCCUAGCUUCUCUGUAAAAUCAAAUUUGACAACAUUGAAUCCCUGAUCUUAAAGGCAACAAUUAGUUGGACUUGGGUAGCAGAUGCCCCACCUUUAUGGGGUAUGUGCUCAUAUUUUAAAUUCAUUGUGUUUUAGUUUUCUACUUGUAAAUUAUGUUUAAAUUAGAGGAUAAUAAGGGAACUGUGUGAUAUGGUUUUUUUUGUGUGCGAAUUAAAUAAAUCAGUAUCUCUAAAUCUCCUCAAACCAUGCCUGUUUCAAAAUAGGUGCUAUAUCAAUGUUUGCUCUGCUUGUGAUUUUCAUCUCUUCCCAGUUAAGUGUAGUUUUGACAACUCUCUAUUGUCUUCCAUUCAUCUUGAGUUGCUCAUUUCCUGUAUGGCUCCUAUAAACAUUUGUGUUUUGAUCCCUGCCCUAGGCUUUUAACAGUUGUGAAUUUGACAUCUGGUUUUAGCUACUCUAAAGCCACCCAAUAUCCAUGAUUCAUUGAGAUUUGUGAUUUUGUUGAAGCAAUAAUUAGAAUCAUUCAUGGUGAAAGCCUGGUCAGCCAAAACAAACCACUUAGCCAGUGAGUGGGCCUAGCUCAGCAUCCACUUCCCAUAUGGUGCUGUUCUCUUGUUCUAUGCAAUAACUCUCCUGAAGGGGUUUUUAGAAGGGGAUGUCUAUUGUAGUAUACAUUUGGACAUCAAUCCAUGCCCUCGGUUUGCCUCAGGAUCUAUAGUGUGUCUUUCACUGUUAUAUAAUGUUAUACUUGCUUCCACAAUAAACACUCUAAUAAAAUACUAUUCUGUGGCUCAAAAAGUUGGACGUUUGAAAAAUAAGUACAAUUCCAAAUACAAUUGUGAAUAAUUUAGAAAAGAAAAAACAUAGGGAUCUACUUAGAAAUUAAAGUGGCUGCACAGGAAGAACCUAAAAACUCAGUUUUUUAAUAGACCUACCUGAAGACAGCAGGAAGAGCAUCAAAAAUGAAUAUAAAAAGAGUGUCAGUCACCCAGAAAAACAGUAAAGGAAAGCAUAAGUCCAGCAGGAGUGUACUUAAAAAACUCAAACCAAGAAUAUUACAAAGGGCUUGGGCUGAAGGAAGAAGAGUAUGAAGUACAGGUGAGGUCUGCUGCUGCACAAAGAUUGAUGUGACAUUAAGAGAUAGUGGAGUGAUAGAAGGCAGAACUUCCUGAAUCAGGUCUUGUGAUCAUCUUUUCUGGUAACUGAAGAUGUCUGGUAUUGAAAUGUGUUGCCUAGUAAAGUUGUGAGAUUUUGACUAUUGCAAGAACUUUAGGGAUGUCUAGAAAAUUACUCAUCAGAGAUGUGGUGUCACACAGUCUUACUCUUAGAGCUCCCUCUGCUCAGGUGGAUGAGGAUGAUGAGCUCUUCAGAAAGGCCCUGAAUCCCCCUUUUGUACCCAGGAAGUAUCCUAGGAUGGACCCUACUUUCUUGGUUCCUAUAUUGCUUCCUCUAUAAUGUAUGCUUCUCUUCCUAGCUUCUUUGGAUUAAGGUUUUGCUUGGCUCUAAGCUUUAGAUUCACCAUAGGAUGUAAUUUUUUCAGAGCUCUCUUGGGUUUGUUUUACUCAUCCAGAGUCCACCCCAGCCUCCUGUCACUCUCCUACAGCUUGGAACUGCUCAUCUAGGAGAAGAAUUAGCAUAUAUGUUAUCAUAAAUCUAAUUACCAAAUGAAGAAAUAUCUUUUUUUCUUUAUGAUAAUGGGCCUAUUUUUCUUUUCCAUUUGAUGAGUUUUACUGUAAGUAGGAUCUUGGGCCAAACUGCCCUUGUAGAUAGGUUCAUAUAAUUGGAAGACUACAAAUUUAUAGUAUUUGGAGAAAGCAGACAGACUUUCCUAAUAAGGGCUUGGGAGAGAAGGUGAUUACAGAAAUUACAAUCAGAAGGGGAAAACAUUAUAUUUUCUGUUGUCCCUCUUUCUUUAUACUGGAGUAAGUUUCUUCUUGUUAGCAAGAAGGCAUGCUGCUCGGUAUUCACCUCCCCUCUGGCAGGUCUUCAAAGACCAGAAAGAUCUCUUAGUCAGUUUGACCACAGCAGUAUGUUGCGGCUGCUUUCAGGAGUCCUGAUGCUGCUGCUAUUACAUUUCUCAUUGGCUUUAUAGGCUGGGCUGGAAAUGUAAAGUAGAAAUGGGCUGUUAGCUAAAUGUAGCCACAGAUACUGCCUGCCCAGCUCUUGGCUAUUUUAAUUGGGAUUGUUGCUGGAUCACAGGAGUAUAAUUAAUGUUCUUCUCUUCCCAGUUGGCAUGUUGCCAUUAAAUAAUUGGCUAAGCAUUUCCCUUUAUAAUUCUCAAUUUCCUUGUCAAAAAAUCAUGAAAUUCUUAAAAUAGAAUGGAAUGGUCAUAAUAGGUUACUUAUCAUGUGUAUAUGUAAUACAGAGGAGUAUUGCUGAAACCUUACAUUGGAAAGGCAAGGUAGAAGGAAAGAAAGCAGCUUUUUCUUGCCAUGAAAAAAUAUUUCUAGGGCAUGGCGUUCCAUGGAAUAUGCUGAAUGGACAGUCUUGUGAAACUGAAAGGCAAACAGUGAAGUUCUACUCUACUGAGCUGGCAUUGUAAGUAAUCUGUCCAUCUCUGCCCCGAAUCCUUACCUCUUUCUCUGUUUUUAAGCCUCUGCUAACAUCUACUCCUUGGAUUCUGUUUAUUUCUCUUUCUCUUUCUUUUUCUGUAUUCUGUAACUUACCAUCUGCACUUUAGUUUGUCUCUCUUCCAUUCAUUUCCACACCACUGGUCCCUUUUCCUCUGUCUUCUCUGUAUGUGUACCCGCCUUCUCUGUGUCCAUACUGCCCCCAGGCAUUUACUCACCAUGCUGAUAUCUUUCACCAGACACCAAUGCCCAUAUACUUCGACACAUGAUGACUUCCAUUGUACCUUUGUUGGUCCUUGUUUCCCAGUGCUGACUCAGUGUGGCUCCCUCUGUAACUCUGUGUUGGUUUCUGCUUGGAUCAAUGUUAUCCCAGGCUGACAUGUAAACAAAGCACCAUUCAAAGUUGAUCCCAUAGACCAUAAAACAUGGAAGAAGAUCUGGGGAAAGAGAGGCAAUGCCAUGUGACUCCAAACUCAGUAACAAUGACUCCUUACCCUCAGUGUUUUUCAUAAGUACUUGGCACAUGAAGUCUUUUUACUGAGCUCUGAGUUCUUCCCCCACAUUAACUGUCUCAGUUCUGAAAUUUUUAGUUAUUGUUUUCUGCUUUAUGUUAUUUGUACAAAUAUCUAAAUGUUUAAACUUUGGUUUGCAUGACUUUCCAAUUUGUUCUGGCAUUUAUCUUCCAACUUAAAACCAUCCCCAGCAAGAGCUAUUUCCUUUAUUUCUGUUCUACCAAAGCAAUUUGUUCAUAUUUUUAUUGUGUUACUUUGUCAUGUUUUAUUAUAAUUAUAUGUUUACAUAUAUCACUUUCUUUCAAAGAAAAUUUUCUGUUUACUUUCUUUUGGUCAAUACCCAGAAGACUAUAUAGCCACAGAAGAACUGACUUCUUUAAAUGUGUAGUAGAGUAUGGCCAUGACUGUUCUCCAGAAGCCCCUAAAUUGAUGGAAAAAGAAAAUUCCUAGUUCUUGCAUUGCAGGUUUAGACGUUUUUUUUAAGCUGCACAAUCUGAAAUAAAGGAGUCACACAGGCAAGACUUUUGGUGCCCAGAACCCUUGCGAUGAGUCUGUAUAAUGUUCCUUCCCAAGAAGCAUAAAUAUUGCCUUGCAUGGAAGCAUAGGUUAUUUCUAGGCAUUUAUGUGGCCCUUCCUACAUGGCAGUAGGUAAAAUCUUUGGAGACUUUUGUUUUGGAUACUUUGAUCUGUUUUGCUUGUUGCCUCAUGCUGACUGCUGGCCAACACACCACUUUAAUGCAGGAGGGUCCUCAGGUACUUUGUCCCCUGAGAAACAGAAAGGGGCCUCAGGUAGCUUUGUCUCUGAUAUGGCCCUUUGCCUCUGUAGUUCUCAUAUUAUUUUGAUUUUUGAGAAAGCUUGGGCAUAAAACUAGUUAAUGUCCAUGAGUUUUAUCCUCUUAUUUCCUCAAAUCUAGAUUUUAUCUUUUUAGGCCUGGUCUAAGAUAAAAUUUGUUAAAUGAGUUUGCCAUAAAAUCAGUUUGGUGUUUUAAUUUUUGUCAUAUUUACAGGUUCUGCCCUCAUUCAGGGUAGAGGAUUCUUACAUGGGCAGUAUGCACCAGAGGGUGAAAAUCCAUUCUAAUAAAUUUUUAAAGUAUUUUUCCAAGACUAAAGUUGAUGAUAUUUUCCAUGGCCUCUUCAACCAAGACAAAUAUAUUUAUCAACAGUUAAGGCUGUAUUAAUGUACAAAAUGCAAUUCCUUCACUUAAGUAGUUAAUCAUAAUCAUAUUAGAAAGAAAGAAAAUUAGAUAGGGAGAGGGAAGUUAAGGUAUAUCUAUGUGAACUGUAUGAAGCAUAUGCAAAUACUAUAAAACAUGAUAUGUUAGAGGAAUUAGGCAGUCUUAGAAUAGUAUAGACAGUUUCCUGGAGUAAGGGGAUAUAAAUGAGGGACAGAAGCAAACACUGACCUGUGUAGAAAUUUUAUUCUUCCACUGGUUACUAACUUUAGGUACUUAGGAAAUAUAGCACCAAACAGGAAGAAUGACAGACAAAAUAAUUGAAUUCAUGUGCUUAAGGGUGCCAUGGAGGGAGAGCACAGGUGUGGAGGGAGGGAUCAGUAGGCCAUCAUAGGGACAGCUGCUGUCCAAGGUUCUGAACUAUAAUUGGUUAGUUCUCCUAUGCUUGCCUGUUUGUCCAAACUCUCAGGAAUGGUGAACCAGGUUUGGGCAGAGGUGCUGAUAGGAAAAAUGGGAGAAAGGGAUAGAAAAUAGGGAGCAGGAAUUAAGAUAUUUCUCCAGUGAAAUAGCCACUAAGAGCUAUGACAAUUUGCAAAUAAUUGCAAAGAUGGGGGGCAAGCCACAAGUAAUCUCAACAAAAUUGGAUGCUCUAUCAAUUUUCUAUUGCUACAUAACAAAUUCCCACAAACUUUGUGGCUUAAAACAGCACAAAUUUGUGAAUGCAGUUUUCAUAAGUGAGGAAUGGAGGCACAGGUUAGCUGGGUCUUUUUUCAGGGUCUCAUGAGGCGAAAGUCAAUGUGUUAACUGAAUUGCUUUCCUUCCUAGAGCUUGGAGUCUUCGUUCAAGCUUAGGUGGUGCUUGGCAGAACUCUGUUGUUGUAGUUUAGAACUGAAGUCCCCAUACUCCUGCUGGUUCCUGCCUAGAGACCACUCUCAGUUCAUAGAGGCUUCCUACAGUUACUUGUCACAUGGUUAUCCAAAUCUUUAUAAAUUCAAGAAGAAUCUCGUCAUCUUCAGAAACUCACCUAAUUGAGUUAGGCCCACCAAAACAAUCUUCUUUUUUAUUAACUUGAAGUCAACUCAUUAGUAACCUAAUAAUAGAAGUGAUAUUCCAUUAUAUUCACAGGUUCUGCCUCUGCUCAAGGGGAGGGAAUUAUAUAGGUUGUGCACAUUAAGAAGUAGAAUCUUAGAGGCCAUUUUAGAAUUCUGUCUACUACAAUGAGCAAAGGAAAAAUAAACUUGUGUAAGAAUUUCCAGAUGAAAAUUAUAUUGAUUGCAAGUAGCUAGGUCAAUCAUAAAUAAGAAGGUAAAAAGGAACUCAUUGGACAUAUGCUAGAUUAUCUUAUAGAUUCCCAGGAAGAAUGGAAAAACUAGUCUUUGGGGAGAGUAAAUUCUGGGGAAGCUUGAGAGACCUCAGUUAAUAGUAAUUUUUUCACAGCACCAAUGCUUGGCUUAAAGUAAUUUGUUUCACAAUUCAAAAAUAUAAAUUUCUGGGAGAGAAUUUAGGAAUAGGAAUCCACCUUACUUCAAUCAAACUAAGGAAUACUCUCAUACUAUAAACAUAGCUUAUGGAUCCAUGACUAUAUUGGUUCUAGUUAUCAGAGAAAUUGUUAUUAUUGUUAAAUGUCCAGCUACCCUAAGAUGAGUCUAUGCCACAAGUAAGGCAAAAUGAUGCAAUGUUGGCAUGUAUCAACAAUAGUAUAGACAGCAUGAGAAAUAUCAACAAGGUGGAAAUGGAGUGUUUAAAGUGGUAUUGGCAGUUGUUAUAUUAACAUAUAACAAAAUUUUGCAUUUUAAUUUUUUCUAUUUUAACUAUUUUUCUUAAAAAAGUUAAUUAAUAUAUCUAUUUUUCUUUUAUAUUUUCAGUGCCUCCAUUUAAAUACAUUUAACCACAGCUUAUAUUGUUUUAUUUAUUUUCAAUAGUUUUAACAUGUUUCCAAUAAUAGGAUACUUAACCUUCUUGCCUUGGAAAUGUGGACGUGGGUAGGAGACACUCCCUGUUUCCAAGUACUCUUAUACUAUGCCACACUUGUGAUAUGAACAAAGAUUGAUAGGCCAGGAGAAAGUAACUUGGAAAAGGUUUUGGCAUUUUGUGUUAAUUAUACCUGUCAUUGGAAUACCCCCUCUGCCAUCAUACUUUAGCUGUUUGACAUAGGGGGGUUUGACAUUAGAGUUUCUGAUGUUAAUAAACAAUAUUAAAAAAUUAUAUUUGUUGUGCUUUUGCUGAAGCAUGAAUUUGAGUUAUGUGUACUGAGAUUGAAGGGCGGUGGUGAGACACUGUUGGUGAGUGAGCAUAGCUGACCACACAGACUGUGAAAGCUUUAUUUAAACAUUCAUUUUGACCUUACUGCUGUUAUUGUUACUCAGUGCUGUCAUAGAUUUUAUAAGGUAGGAGGAAUUAACUGCAAUAGUGAUAUUCACCUUGAUUAAUUAAAGUCUAAGAAUGUAUUUAUUGUAUAAUAUAAUGGCUUUAUGUAUAGCUUAACAUUUACAUAAUAGAUUAUAAUGUACUUUUCUUUACAUGAACCCUCUUGAUUCUCAUCAUAACUCUUUGAAGCAGUCAGGUAAAUACUCUUCAGAGAAAAGAACUCAAAGGACGUUCAAACAGAAUUUAUCAGAUUCUGAGCAGAAUUCUUGUCUUUUUGACGUCUACUCCUGCAUCCUUUUCCUCAAAAGAAAAAAAAAAAGAUGCUUUGUAUCUGUCUGAAGUGUAACUGCUGAGGAAAAUAACAAAAGCCCACAUUAAUAUACCUGUGAGUUCUCAAUAAAUAUUCAUUGUGAUGUUUAGUCCAUUUUUCUCAAUUGGGAGUCCAUAGAUCUCUCAGCUAAAUGUGGAAUCAUCCUAGUAAUGUUCUUUCUCUAUGGGCUUUGUUCCUAGAAGGUCUUUGAAGCACAACCAAAAUAGACUCAUCCAUUAAAAUUAUUUUGAAAUUUAUUUCCAUUAUGGGCAUUAGGGAGAAAAGAUACUGAGCAGCAGAAGAGAAGUGAUGCAGAGCUAGUGACAGGUGGGGCCUUGAGGAAUUCCUGGGGAUCCUACAAUGCAAGACACCAGCCUUAAUUAACAGAUAAGUGAAUGAGACGGAGUCUUACCAUGUUGCCCAGGCUGAACUUAAAUUCCUGGGCUCAAGCCAUCCUCUUACCUCAGCCUCCCCAGUAACUAAGACUACAGUUGCCUGCUACCCAAGCUGGGCCUGAGUGUUUUAUAUUCUGCAGGCUGUACAGGAAACAUGGUGCAAGCAUCUGCUUCUAGUGAGGGCCUCAGGAAGCUUACAGUCAUGGUGGACAGUGAAGGAGGGGCUGGAGUGUCACAUGGUGAGAAAUGAAGCAAGUGAGAGGGAAGAGGUCCCAGACUCUUUUAAACAGUGGAUGUAAUGACUUAGCUGGAUAUCAAGAUUACUUUAUCAAGAUGACAUUUCUCAGUCUAUAGAAAGGCAGAUUUCUCUAUAACAUGGCUAAAUAAGAAAACCACAGGCUAAUAAAGUUCUUCAGAGGCUAUGGAAUAUGAAAACACAAUUGUGACCCAAAAACAGAGUCUUGCUCUGUUGCCCAGGCUGGAGUGCAGUGGCAUGAUCUCAGCUCACUGCAGCUUAUGCCUCCCAGAUUCAAGCAAUUCUCCCACUUCAGCAUCUGAGUAGCUGGGACUACAGAUGGCAUCAGAUGUGGGAUCCGAAGUAGAGCUUCUAACAACCCACAGGAGCACGGAGUGACCAAGUGAGGUACCUGCAGGACCCAUUGGUGUUCAUCGAUCUCUCGGAGCAGCUGGGGAUCAUGGUAAGUUGUCUCUCAGAUUUUGGAGCUCCACAGAUUUGUGUUUUGAGCUUUCUGAGUUUCUUUGAACAAAUUUCUGAUCCAAAUUGGAUUUGGAAGUCGCAACAGAAACUGGACUGGGUUCGGGAUUGGAUUUGAUCUAGUAAAUAACUGGCUUGGAUCCAGUUAGGAACCUCUUACAUCUGACGGGGAAGAAAGAAACUGGGAGUAAAUAGUAAUAUUACAGGGGGUAUGAAAUUUAGCUUUUGGAAACUCCGGGGCAUUUUGGUGUUCUAUCCGUUCAUUUUAUUUUUCUUGCUUGCAUAGGUAGGAAAAAGUCCUGGGUUAUCUUAAUCAGGGGAACCUGAGAGCAAAGCCAAUAUCUGAGGUAAAAAGGGAUUCUUAAAUUCUGAAAAACUGAGUUCCUUCCAGCUUAUACAUGCAUAUGUGUUAGGCCCUAAAAGGAGCAAAGUCUUACAGAAAUGGAAAAAUCUGACUAAAGAUAUCUUACAAUGGAACAUUCCAAAAGAAAAACAAUGAACUAAAGUGCAUCUGAAAAUGAGGGCUCCCAAAUUAGUCUCAUCUAGGGAUGCCUAUUGAUAUGUAGAAGCUUCUAAAAAGAUUUUAAUCUUUUUAUUUAAAGACUGACGAAAGGAAAAUAAAAAGCCUAAGUGACUAAUUGAUUAAAACAAUUAAUUCUGCUAACUUUUUAGCUUAGUUACUACCCUAAUCCAAAGGAAAUAGACUGAAGUACCUAUUGGCUGACUUUGAGUAAGUAAUGGUGUACAUUUUACCUUGGUAAAGGAUGGAACUGAGGCCCUCGCCUCAGUAAAGUCCCUCUUGGAUAAAAUGGAUUUGACAUCAUGGGAUGUUAACCCCUAUUCUUUUUACAUUAAUCUGCCUUGCGCUGUUUGCUGACAGCAGUGGAUGGCAGGAUUAAGCAUGUACAGGACCACAGAACACGGAGGACUUCUUCUCCCCAAAGGGAAAAACUUGAGAGCUGAUGGGACUGCUGGAAAAGAUCCCUUUGCAACCGACAAGUGGCUGCCUAAACUUUUGAUUCAGUAUCACUGCAAUGGAUGGGUCUUUCUCUGGCCUCUCUGAGCUCUUCCUUCCCCACCCUGCCACAGGCAAUGCUGCUCUCUCUGUUGCUCUCUGCACAAACCAGAUGUGGGAACAGUAAAAGUCAUCAACUUUUGCAAAGUUUUAAUUAAUGAGAAAAAGGAUUCUUGAGGCUAAUCUUAAGCUAUAGCAAAUCUGGUGUGCUUUGUGCUAUGAAUUUUUCUUUCUGUGUUGCUCCAUCAUGAAGUGGGAUACCUUAGGAUAGAACAUGGGCUUAGGACCACAAAAGCUUUCUGUUCAAGAUGGCCCAGCAAGCUGGUCAGUAACAGACUUUGCUGUAGAGGUCCCUGAAAGAAACAAAAAACUGGAUGAGGUCUCCAUCUUGUUUUAUGUCCUUGGGAGCUUGGCAUUAUAACCACGUGGUGGUACUUUCUGUUUGUUUCUGCCAUCUGGGGGACAGGAAUUUGGAGAUUCAUUUUAUAGUUAGCUCUAAAAAUUAUCUUGAUCAUUAAAAUCUAUUGCAAGCACAAAAUUGACUGCUCUAGGCUCCUGGGAAGAGCAAUGGAAACUGCCUAGUGCUGUAGCUUAAUAGCUAAGGUUUUGUCUUUUCACAGUGAUGGCCUGGGUUCAGGGUUCAGUUUCUGGCUUUAAGAAUGAAUCCUUUCUGGUUUGCUGUCUUCAUGACCUUUACCAUUUGUUGAUUCUCUUCCCCUCCAUGAACCGUCUUGAAUUUUUUUUUCUGUGAGCUACCUUUGGAGAGUCUAGAUCUUCUAAAACUGCUAACUACCUCUUUAAAAAUACCUGAUACACUUGUAGUUAAGUUAUAACCUUCAUUGAGGCUUGUAACUUUCACCUGUGAGAUUAGCUUUGGUAAAGUUUAAAAGCCAGAAAUAUUGGUCAUUUGGCCCAGCUAAAGUAGAGUAAUAACAAAUUUAAAAAGGCUUUUUUUUUUUUUUCAGAGAGCAUUAUGGUUAAAAGUCAGCUUAAUUAAAAGUGGAUAUUCAAGCUAUACAUACAUUUUAAAAGGGUCUUUACAUUUUUCUCUUCUUAAAUCUUGUUUUCCUGGGAAAAAGAUUUUUUCUUCUCAUCUGGCUGAAUUGUUUUCCUCCAUUAUGUUUUACUACUCUUAAUGCAUGCAUGAGAGGAUUUAAGAUAUCUUCUAUUAGCCUAGGAUAAAACAGAAGAGGGACUAUAGAUCCUGUUUUGGGAAAAACCCCUGUUUUCUUCAUGAAACUCCAGGAAUUGAAAGUGGAUAGAUCCCAAUCAAAAUCUAAGGCUCUGUUCUGUUUUGCAUUGUUUUAUCUGAUGGUUUUGAGUUUUGAUAGAAUCAGAAAUUACUUUGUGUAAUGAGAGAGCUUUGGUGCAUAUAACCAGGGGGAGGAAAUAUACCGUUAAGGAUGGCUAAUGAUAGUUAUGAAGGAAUACUUGAUUCUUUGCACCUUUGGAUCAAAGAGGCAUGCUCUUGGCCACCUAGAAGCCAUGUAAAUGUCCCCACCCACACUGAGGUAAGACUCCCAUGGAGGAUGGCUUAAUCACAAGGUGGGCUGGUCAACUUUGGGUUGCUUUGCAAUAAAAUGCAUGGCAAAGGAUUGCACCGUCUUCUCCCAUAGCAUUUCCCUACUUUUGGGGAUCCAGGAUGAAAUAUAAAAAUGGAACCCUUAAUUUUGGGGAUCCGUUUUUGCCUUCCAGCUGUGCCUGCUUAUUAGGCCCUAUAAAAUACAUGUGUUCCUAGCCCAGUUGCUCUAAGAGUCCACCCUAAAGCCAGUAAACCAAUUAAGAAACUUAAAAACUGGCAAAUGAAGAAUCCUAAAACUACUGGAUCUUCUGUCUGAGUUUGGAGUUAUAUAUUUGUUGUAUGUGUGAUGUUUAUAUAAAGAGCUCUAAUUAAUUGGCUUAAAGAAAAAUAAGCACUUAAAUAAAAUAUUUUCUUAGAAAAAUAAAAACUGUAAUGCUUUUUAGUUCAUAUGGCUUUACUAAUAUUUGGGAAAUAAAAACAGCUUUAAAGAUUAUUGGUAAAAUGAAGACAUUUGGUCUAAAUUAGGCAGGUCAGAUAUUAGAUUUGCUAAAUGCUUUAAGGUCAUAAACUGCUUCUUUGGCUUUUGAACAUUGUUCAACUUGUUCAAUGUGCCUGUUUAUAGCUAGGUAAGGCCUGGGGACAUGUGAAAUUAGCCAUGUCCCUAGCUAUGCUGGAAAGAGUCAGACCUUAUUUGCACUUCUGUCUGGUAUUCUAGGCUCUAAACUCAGUACAUACUUAAAGUCGCUUGCUAACCAGAUUUUUCACCAAAAGAUGCUAAGAGUUAACAAAAUAACAUGUACUUGAAACUACUGAAGAAACACUUUUACUUGCAAGGUAUGUAAAGAAAAUAAAAUGUACUUUCAGUAAAGGAUUAUAAGAAGGCAUGGGGAAUGUAAAUUUUUGCUUAGUCUAGAGGGUUCAAGGAUUGUUUUAAAUUAGAUAGGAUAAAACUGAGCAAAUUGUUAAAGAUUUGUGAAAAAUUAAUCUUGUAAAAAAUUCUAUGUGAAACUAGGGCUAAGUUUAAAGGGGUGUUAUUCAGUUUUUCUAUAAAUUGAACAUUAGAAUAAAGCACAACAGGGUUUUCUUUGAGCACUGAUUUGCUCCUUAACAAAAAUUUGUAAAGGGUUAUAAAAGGUUUAUGAGAAUCUCAUCUUAUGGUCAAACUGAUUAAGAUUGGAUUGAUUUGUCUAUAAGUUUUUAUUAAAGAUUAAGGUUGACAUUAAUAGUACAUUAAUGCAAGGGUAAAAUUUGUCUUUCUGUCUCAAACAAGAUUUCAUGUAAUAUUAAAGGAUAAUGAAAGAUUUUUGUUUGCCUUUUGAAUAAACUACAAAAAAAAGAAGGGAAAGAUAAAAGACAGAUGGUUUGGGAAGCUAAGUCUUCCCUCUGUCAGUGAGCAAAAGGCUUUUUUGCAUUUUUAAAAUUUUUGAGUCAUCAUUUUGGCUAAAAGAGUGACUUAUGGUGAUCUUGAAUUCUAUUUCAUAAUAUUAAGUGUUUUAAACCUUUAAAUUUGAUAGGCUUCCCAAAAUCAAGUUUCAGCUUUAAAAUUGUCUUUUCUGAUCUCUUAUUUUGGGAUGCUACAGAGGCCCCCUGAAGCACCCAAAAGAGAGGUAAACAGGAUUAUUUGACAUGUUAAAUUACAUGGAAAACAUUGUCAAAAUAAAAAAUAAUGUUUCACCUUAUUCAGGUGUAUGUUAGUGAAUAAUGUUAAUAUAUGUUCCAGAAUUCUAUGAGAUUUCUAAAAUUCUAACAUGUCUGGCUAUAUGCUAUCAAUCGUAAUAAUGGUCAUUAUGUUAAAUUAUUGUGAGCCACAGGAACAACUAAAUUUCCUUGUCAAUUGUGUCUUUAACUAUGACUAUUCAAAAUGGUUUCCACAGUUAACUGCUUAAUGCUGAUGAAGUUUCUGAAAACUUCACAAGCACCCAAAAUCCUAGAAUAUGGUAUCUUUUAGGAGGUUCAUGAAAAAAUGGAAAGGACCUUGAAAAGUUCUCAUGAACACAGGUUUCUGAUGACUUUAGAAUCAUAUCGUAUAGACCGGGUAAGAAUUCCUGGAACUUUAAUGAAAAGACUGGUUUGUAAAAUUGCUGACCCGUGUAGAACAAAAAUUAAUUGAAUAUCAAGAAAAUAUUUUGCCAGAUUUUCAUGCUAAAUCAGCCAGUACUGAAGUGGUUUUGAUAUAGAAUUUGAAUGAACUCUGUGGUGUAAGUCAAAUUACUUGUGAUAACCCAUCCAUUAUCAGUGCUAUGCACCCAAAUUGGAGAAACAACUGAUAUUCAAAAGGACAUGAGUCUAUUGUUAACUAAACAUGGACUCAUGGAGAACCAGGAUGACCUCCUUGUUUUUCCUGAGUCCUUAAAGCUUUUGUUAUUAAAAGUUCUGCAUUUUAUAACACAUCAUAGAAAAGAUUAAGUGAUCCAAAUUAAAUAUAUAUUGGUUUGGUGACUUCUAAAUUGCUAAAAUAGUUUAUGACCAAUGUUUGGUUUGUCAAACCCAUAUUCCUGGGAAGAUAAUCAAAUCUUCAGGUACACACAGCUAUCUGAUGGGCCAUUUAAACAUUUAUAGAGGAAUUCCAUUCAAUUGUCAUUUUUAGUGCCUGUUUUCUGUAUUACAGAUUUCCCUUGCAAGAGGACUGAUAUUAUUGCACUAGAUUAUUAUGCCACAGUGUAUUUUCAUGAGGUAAAGAAAGCUUUUUAUGGUUCACUGACUGAGGACUGUCAACCCUUUCACAAUCUAGAACCCAAAGAUUAAAUUUUCUGAGAUGAUCAGAGAGAGACUGCCCUUGCCAUUCACACUGCAGCAGAACUUCAAGAUGUGAACCUUGAGUUCAUAAUCUCACAACUGAGAAGGGUCCCUCCACACUCUUGGAAUUGUACACCCAUUGGAACCCUUAAGGUAAAGCUAACUAGGGAAGCUUCUCCCCAGAAAAAAUGGCUUUUUUGAUGGAAAGUGCUUUUUCCAAGAUCACAUAUCAAGACUUCUCUACUAUCAUGAGACUCUUAUCUUCGAAUAUUUUUCCCUUGCUUAUCCCUCUAUGAACAAUAGUAGUGAAAAGGGACUCUGUUGCAUGUUCUUAUGGGGCAUAAUUUUGUUAGAAGGAUUUUGCAGCCAGCCUUAUACAUGGAUAAUCUUAUAGCUUAAUAGAUGAAAGAUGAAGACCCAAUGUAGGUGAGAAACGUUAAUGGUACAUACAUUGCCUCAUAAUCAGUCAGAAACAGAACAUUGUUCACUCCUCUUAACUCACCUCAUGAGUUAAAGAGAACAUUUCCAGGAGGCCUUCACUCUUCUAGAAGGUCAUCAUUCAUUAGCUCCUUUUUCUGUGAUUUGAAAUAAACAAUGAUUAGAAAUAUAUCCCUCAUGAUACUCUCUAUUGCAGAUUCUACUGUAAAGGCUAUGGUUACACAAAAGACUUUAAUUUCUCUUCUGAAAGUUACGCUAAACAAUAGGGUUGACUAAAUAGAUGGGUGCAGUGGCUCACGCCUGUAAUCCUAGCACUUUGGGAGGCUGAGGUGGGUGGAUCACCUGAGGUCAGGAGUUCAAGAAUUGACUAAAUAUAAAAGUAUCUGUGCAGGUGCCAGCAAUUGCAGCCUAUGGAGAAAUAGAAAUACAUCAAAUGUAGGUUAUAGAGAUUCAGUUGUAGGGAAUUAACAAAGAGACUGCUUAGUUAAGUGAGUAGACUCUUCAUAUAGUUCAAUUUUUGAUCUAUUUGACUUUAGGUGGUUUGGCUUAUUGGGGACCCUGGGUAAGGAGCAUAUUCCAAACUCUUGGUACUAUCCUCCUGAUAGUCAUAAUAGUAGUCUCCCUGGUGGGCUGUGUUGUCUCAAAAGUUUUAUGUGUCUGCAUAAGGCUAUCUCUAGAAUGUCAAAUGGUCUCUCUUCAACUGGAAUGGCAAGAAUUGAAAGAAAUGCAUGAUCAUGAGGACAUGGUAACCUAUGAAUGACAUGCUGAGACCAGAAACCCAAAAUGAUGGUAACUGAGAGUAGUGCUACGACCUUAAGGUCACACUCUCACCUAAGUGAGAACCUUACCAAUAAGGGGGAAUUUUUUUAACAAAAUUAUGGGAAGCCAUUGUUUUGGAUUGGAUGCAUGCACUAGGCCCCAGCAGACCAAACCAAAAUGGAUUCAGUCAUGCUAAAUGUGACAUAAUCAAACUAAAACUUAGGAAACACAGAGAUCCUAGAACAGACCAGGUUUUGUUUCUCCUGUAAACAGACCACUCCAGCAUAAGGAGGUAAACCUCUACUCAGUCCUUGUUCCCAUCUUGCAAAACUCACUGUUCUACUCUUUCCCAGUGGGUUUCAAGACCAAUGGUGAUAGUGACAUCAAUGACUAAUGUUUUGGUAAUCCCUCCAAUUUUAGAAGAUGACCAAGCCUAAACUGCCUCCUUGCAUAUUUUAAGUUCAGCCUAAAGGUUUUCUGUGCAACAUGAACUAUAACAAGUGGAGGUGUAAAUAGACCAUAGCCUACACUUGUGCCAAUCACUGAGUUUUGGCCAACCAUAUUCAAAUAAGGCAAACACUGAGCUGUACCCAAUCCAGUUGUUUCUGUAUCUUGAUUCUGUUUUCUGUACAUCACUUUCCUUUUUCUCUCCAUAAAUCUUCUUCCACCAUGUGGCUGCAUUGGAGUCUCUGAGCUUACUCUGGCUGGGGGCUGCCUGAUCUACAAAUCGUUCAUUGCUCAAUUAAACUCCUUUAAAUGUAAUUUGGCUGCAGUUUUUCUUCUACAGGGCAUUAAUUUCAUCACUAUUCUCUAGGGAGAUUAUCAUUUUUAUUUUUGCCUUACUUCCAAUGCUUAAUUAGUAUACAAUUGAAUUGUCCUUAAAGGUUCUGAAUUCUACUAGAUCCUACCUGGGUACUAGCAUUUUCCUGUUAGUGUUUCAACACUGGUUUCCUCCACGUUGAUAUAUCCAUCAAUAUGGUUAUAUUGACCCUGUGAUGCCUCUUCAUUUAGGUUUAGAUUAGUUUUCUCAACUUAGUCUAUGCAUUGCAGUCACCAGAGGAGCUUUAUAAUACACUGCUACCUGGACUCCCUUCCCAGAGAUUCUUAAUUCUGAGAGCAGCCUGGCUAAAAAAGCCAAGGUGCAGCCAAGAUUGAAAAUGUUAGCCUAGAGAAACUCUAAAAUCUAAGAUGUCAAUGGGGAAGCAGCAUGAAGUCUUGGUUACAACCUCUAUGGCUAAAUUGCCUGGGUUUAAAUCCAAGCUCUACCAUUUAAUAUCUGUGUGACCACAGGCAACCACAUUUCUCUUGCAUCAGAUUUAAUUGGGGUAUAAUUCUAAUUUAUUUGUAAGUUGAGGUAUCUACAGAUUGAGUUAUAAUCAUAAUAAUGAUUCAUAUGGUUGUCAUAUGGAUUCAAUAAAUUAAUAUUAGAUAAUACUUAAACCAUAAUGUUAUAGAAAUAUAAAGUAAAUAAAUGGACCAGCUACAGAACAUUAUUCGAAUCUCUUAAAUUCUUAGCUUCUCACUUUCCAACACUUUGAACCCUGCCUUUUCUCUGAGUCCAUCAUUCCAUCCAUGGUUUUGUUUACUUUUGGAAUAUUCUAGACUCCAUAGUCCAUCAUUUAGUUCCUUUUUUGCCAGCAUUCUCAAUUUCCUACCUCUGUGGUCAUUCUGAUGAUGGAAAUCACCCAUUGAAUUAUUCCUCAAUUUUGCAUCUCCACUCCUCAUUUGGACUGUUGAAUGCUGUUGAGACUAAGAUAUCAUUACACAUUUAUGGGCUAGGGCCAUUACGGGUUCUCAGCACUACUCUGAAUUUUGUCAUGUGUCCCUGGCAGAAUCUUCCAUUCCUCGCAGUGAUUUCUCCAAACCCCUUUUUUCUCUACAAACUGUUUAUUGAGUUUCUUUUCCAUCUCAGAAAACAACUUUGCCUCCCACUUCUUUAAAAAGUUAGAGAUGACUUAUUUGCCUUUUUACAGAUAGAUAAGAGAUUUGCUUGGACCCGGGAGGUGGAGGUUGCCAUGAGCCAAGAUCACACCACUGCACUCCAGCCUGGUGACAGAGUGAGACUCUGUCUCAAAAAAAAGAAAAAAAGCUUCUCUUUGGCUUCUGAAAUUUUUCCUUUUGGUUCUCCUUCUAUGAUAUUUCUUUCCAUUCUUCUCUGUGGAAUUAUUUUCUUUUGUCCACUCAUUUAGGAUUGAUGUGUCACAAUUAUGACCUUGGCUUUCUAAUCCUGGGUGUCCCCCCUACUACUUACAUUCUGAAACGAUUGUGUCUAAACUAUGGUUCUGCUGCCUAGAACUCACCCUGAUCUCUACUUCUUGAACUACAACUGCCCAAUAGAGCUUUUCCACCUGGAAGUCCUAAGGAAUCUCUAAAACUGAAUUCACUUUCUUCUCCCCAAUUUUGUUUUCCUUCAAGUACUACUGACUUUAGUAAUUAGUGAAUGGUUAUGUUAAUGACUGACUUCCUGGACAAAAAUCUAGGAAUCACUGCUGAUACCAUCCUCACGUUCACAUCAUAGUUUAGAUAAGCUCCAAGUCUAGUUGCUUCAACUUCUACGCCCUCUUUUAUCUGCCCCUACAUCCCAAUACCAAUCUGCAUUAUUAUUGGAUUAUCUCAGAAUUUGUUCUUUUAUUCAAGCUUACUAUAAUUGUCUCCUAGUUUAUUUUCCCAUCUUUCUCCUUAUUUCUUCUAAUCUACUCUUCACAAUAGAAUUCUUUGCAAAACUCAUGUAAAAGGAAAUGUUUAUGUGUUUUUAAAAUGAUGAUUAAACUUGUUUUCCCUUUUGCUUGAUACCAUUAUAAAAAGUGAUUUGACCCACUCUGUAGGAAAGGAUGAGACCAUUUCAUCUCCUAGGGAAUGGAGACCAAGCAAUUAUGCUUCUUGAAGAUACAGUCCAUCCUUCACUGAAGGAAAGAAAGCCAACUUUCCUCAUGCUAAUGGUUUGGACUGUUUAUAGUUUUAAUCCACCAAGAUAGCUAUUGUGACAGAAUAGAAAAGAAUGUCAUUUUUAGGAGAAUAGCAAUCUCUCUGUGUAUAUCUUUUUUCUUUCUUUGUAGUAGCUAGAACAGUGGUUCUCAAGGUAUGCUCCAGACCAGCAUGUUUAUUACUUGGGAACUUGUCAUAAACACAAAUUACUGGGUCCUACCCCCAUCUACUGAAUUAGAGAUUCUGGCAACUUGUGUUUUAAGAAGCCCCCCAGGCAAUUCUGGUGCAAGUUAAUGUUUGAGAACCAUUGGUCUAGAAUGAUAUCUUCCAUAUACUGGGUGUUAAAAAAUUAUUUGUUGAAAACAUGCAUAAACAUUGUUAAAAAGAGAUAGAAGAGCCUUGAAGUUGAUGAGUUGCUAUGAAAGGCACUGUGGAAACUCCUAAAAACCUUGUUGAAUUAGAAUUCUUUCCACAAAAAGACUGUCUUCCUAUGAGGGGGCCUUCAGGUUAAGAGUGGAUCUGUCUCUUCAUCUGCACCCAGAACUUUUCUUUGCAGCAUCUUCUGGGACAGCCCUAACUCCAGUAAUAGCCGCUGGAUACCAGUCAAGGAAUUUGCAAGGAGUUUUGGCUUGGGAGUAGCUGUGAGGAGCCUGAGCUGGGCAGGUAGGAGAUGGAUAAUGUUAUUUUAUAUAGCCACUGUUCAUCAUAACAUUACAUGUUAGUCUGGCUGAGGCUUAAGUUAUAUCACAGGCACACUAGCACAAUAGACUAGAACAAAGUAUGUUUUUCCACACCACUCUUAAUACUAUAUAAGACUCUAUUGCCAACAGAAUGGUUUAAAAGGACAGAAAGAAACUCUUCCUUGGUGCUUCAGAUGUCAGCAAAAUCUUCAAUUUAUGAUUAAGACUAGAAGAUAGCAGGCAUUAUAAGGUCAUAAUUAGAAUCAUACAAGAAAUAUGUUUCUUGUGGCUAAUAUAUGAGCAGGAUAGUGAUUUUGAUGCAAUUUUUAUAAGGUACCCCAGUCUGUUGACCCUAAUUGUUUCCCUAAGAGGGUCAUGAAACAUAAUCCACAAAUCCAUCCCUCCUCAUUCAUCUUAAAAAACGAUGACUUCAUUUUUACAGGAGAGCCCUGGACCUUAGAUGAUGUAGUAAAUAUAGUCAGGGAGAAGGACCUUAUUGCAAUUAGCAAGUUGAAAUUUCAUGAGGCUGCUAGUGAGGAAUCAUGUAAACUUUAACCAGGGACUAGCAUUAUAAUGCUUCAAAAAUACCAGAUUCAUGAGGUUAAGAAGACCUGAAGGCAAAUGAUAUGUCUCAGAGCCACCGGCCUCCCAUUCCCAGCGGUUGAGGUCAUCAACUUUCCAAAACUGAAUUAACAUUUUGGUCUUUGGUCUUUUUUCUUAAUGUCUAAGCACUGUUGAACAAGUCUUUGGACAAGAGAACUGAAAAGCUGGGUAAGUCACCCUCUGGAAUGUCUGUGAGGUUAGUAGGAGUGACCUGCAUAUAUCCUGCAUGGAGAACUAGCUCAGAGAAUAUUAGCACAAGGAGCUUUAAACAUGAGAAUUGUUAAUAAUUCUACCUGGCAUUAAUGUGGCCUGGGGUUUCUUAGUGAAUUUUCCAUUCUAAAGAAACUCUGUUAAAAACUGAACAGUGCCCAAAAUGGUUAAAGACUACUCAAGGUAAAGGAAAAGAAUAAAGUGUGGCUAUUUCCUGCAAAAUAUUUCCUUCCACCCACCUAUCCAUAGGAACGGGUAUGAAACAAAAGUGAAACAAGAAUGAAAGGCCUUGAACACAGAUAUUUAGGCUCUCUUGGAGUCAGCCGCUGUUGUACUUGGCUACAGGCUGUUGGACAGCUGCUGAGGCCAGUGGAUUCUGACAUCUUCUGAGAGGAAACCAACCCAGCCAGUUCUCGCUGGUAUAGUUCAGAACACCCACGGUGGGAAUGUGACAGGGAAGGUCCUCCAGGCCCAAUAUCGCUGGAGAACUUGGGGGUUUGAGAGCAGAUCAUGGACCUUUUGUGGACAGCAAGGAAAACAGGUCCAUACUAGGCUGGGCUAUAAGCUUUAAUUUUUUCCAGGAUUACUGGGGCAUCUGAGUGAAGGUAGCAGGGCAAGGAGAAGGGAGUGGGCAUUCUUAGAGGGUCACAGCAAAUCAUUGUAUUCCAGAUGUUGUGUGUAAAACAUAUCCAUCCUAAAGACUAACUUAUCUAGGCAAGAAUUAGGUGACUAUUGAGCAAGAAUUUCUUGAGAUGAGAGUGGUUGGUCAUCAGUGAUUGAAGUCAGUAAGUUAUAACUAGAACUUGAAAGCAAGCAGGGAGUCCUGCUGUGGUUGGAACCAAGUGUAACCUAUUUAAAAUGCUAGGCCCACACUCCUGGAAGCAUGCAAAGUGAAGGUCUUCCACGACUUUCCUUUUUAUGUUCUACAUUUUGAUGUCUACAGAGAAUCCAAGGCACAUGCCUUGACAUCCUGUCUCUUUUCCAGGGGGCUAUAUUUCCCACAUGUCUCAAAUUAAGCAUUAAGAGCUUUGAUUUCAGAGACUUCAGGAUACCCAAGGAGUGAAAAGAAAUGGAGAAUAGAACUUUCAACUAAGUGUAAUGUUUUCUCUCACCAUAAUUAAAAUGUGGAAUGUCUUCAGGGUGAGAACACAAAUAGAAGUGAAUAACCCUGACUAUUUGAAAUGUCUCAUUUUAUAAAGUUUAGGACCUAAGAAUGAACAAAUAAAAGAGUUGCCAAAUACUGACAUAAUCUCUGAAUCCAUGUAAUUAUUUUAUGUUCCCCACCAUGACCAUGAGUAACAAAGUAGUUCCAAGAAAUCAUCCUAUGGCUCUCUACUCACAAAAUCUUCAGAUAUGAAGGCCAAAAUCCAUAUACAAUAUCUAAGGUCUUCUAAAACUCAAAGCCUAAAACCUCUGCAGCUUUAGCUCUCAUCACAUUUAUAUUUUCCCAGUGUGACCAGACCAUGAUGAGCACUCAGUACAGAAGCAUGUAAAAUAAAGUCUCCUGGCUGGAUAAUACCACAUCUUUAAAGAACCAUUCAGGGCUACAAACACUCAGCACUCUCCUUCUUCCCCAGACAUAACAAUUACUAUUGUAUGCUUCUAUAAUAGUACUCAUGAAACUUUGAGAUUUUAUGCAAAAACAAGAUCAUUCCACUUUGCAUCCCUAGAAUGUAGCAUAGUCCCAGUUUACUUUACUUCAUAAAGUAAACAAUAAAUACUGAAUGCACGAGUGAAUGAAUGAAUGAACAAGUAGCCAAAAUGCAAGCAUGUAUAAUGCCUUAGCUAAGAGAACUUUGUAGAACCAAGACCAGGAUCAAAAAUUAAACACAGCAAUUUAAGCCCCUACUUUCCUCAAACCCCCCCCCAACAAUGCUAUGUUACAUGAAUCCAUUUAUUCUUUGUUUUGCAUUGAAUAUCUAUAGCUAUAUAUAAAGUGAACGCCUGGUGAGUGGGUGGGUGGUGGUGUUCACUCUUAUUUAGUGGAAUGUGAAUAUGUCAGAAUAACAGAAAAUAGAAAGAAAAAGGUUUAUUCAAAGCUGUCAGUUCUCAUGCCUGUUUUUAAAAUCUGUGAUGGUGCCUAGAUGGUUCAAAUUUAAUAUUCGUAUCUACUUUAUCACAUCAAAUAUGAUCAUUAGCAAACAGUGUUUGAAUAGUAGCUGUUUCCUGACUGACAAUAGCCAUCCGGUAGUACCCACUUUCCCAUAUGCCUGGGACUGAUACAGUUCAGAUAGUCUGGAAAACAGUGGGAGGAAGGAAGUAAUUAAAAAUAAAGGGGAAGCUUGGGGCAAAGGAUAAACAUCAAUUUUAUCUCACACAAGAAUAUUCCUAUAUUUGUUCUCUUAAAAAUUAUAGGUGGAGACAGAAAUACUAUUUUUAAACCUAUUUUAUAUCCUCAAAUGGGAAUGCAUUCUUGCCCAUAGAGGGUCAGGAAAUCCUGAGGAUGGGCACUGGUGUUCAAAAGAAGCUUACAACUGUAGGCUUAGAAAACAGAAAGAAAUUAGCUCUGGAAUACCAUGGAAGUGGAUGAAGCUAGAAAAGUGGACAGUGGUACUAUUAUAAAUUCAGAGGCCCAAGCAACAUUUAUAAUAGGUUGACUGCCCCUCACCCACUCAAAGAAACACUUCACUGUCACCAGCAAUACCUUUACCAUGUCGGGCAGGGAACAGGGGUGAGUAGGAGACAGACCUGGCCUUCGGGGUCUGUAAGUGCUAUAGAAUCUUUUCAGGCAGCAGCUUUUCCCAGAAAGUUGGAGGAAAAGGUGUUCAGCAAUAAUUUAUAAACACUGAAGAACCAAAGAAUGCAUUCUUAAUUUUAGGACUGGUUGCAAAAACUGUCCCGUUCGUUCCAUUCCUAUCCAGCUUAUUUUGAUCAUUCACCUAAAUUAUGUUUCCCAGACAUCCCCUACCUCCAAUUAGGUGGGUCAUGCAGUGAGCUGUGGCCAAUGGAAUAUGGAAAGAAGUGAUUGAUGCCAUUUUCCAGGCCUGGAUCAGGAUCCCCUACCAUCAUCUUCCUCAUCCAUAGACUGAAUGUGAAGGAACCUGGGACUCUAGAGAAGGAAAGUGCCCCAAGACAGAGAGAGUCUAGGUCCCCUUAUAUGAACUACUCAUAAGGCAGCCUACCAAACAAGAGGGUCCCCCCCUUCAGCCAUUUGGAUUUUAUGCCCUUCUACAAAGCCACUGAGAUCUGGAGUUUAUUGAUUACAAUAGAGAUAGAGCUGCUGCUUCCAACCCUUUCACAAAAAUGACUCAGAUGGUCUCAUGUACCAUGUCCUCCCAUGCCCUCUGUCACUCUCAGGAGCAUCUUCUUGACAUCUCCUCUGCCAUUUGGAGCAUACAAGCCAACUGUUUAUUCAGAAUUGUCAAAAACUCAUUUAUGGCUAGAAUAGCAAUGACAUUUAAAUAGCCAAAGAAUCAACAGAGUAAUUUUUGGAGAAAAGGUAUAAAAAAUUGAGGGAACAUGAUGAGCAAUGCUUUUAGUCACCAUGGCGUGCUUUUAUUCAUUGAUGCACACAUGUAAUUUCAGUUAAAGUGCCGGGUCCAAUUGCAUGUAGCUUUCCCUGUGGUUCCUGAAAGCACUAUGAUUUUACUAGCAUAAUGGAGAUGUUUAAACAUAACAUCUCCAUUAAACAUAAUGGAUGUUGAAGUGAGCUUAAUAAACAAAUAAAUAGAUGAAUAAUGAACCUUUGUAUGCUUGGAGUAUAAUCAUGGGAUGCUGGAAGUUCGUUAGGGACUGGGGAACAGAUAAAAAUGGGACUCUGGUGAGUAAAGAAUUUCCUCAAGAUCCUGUUGCAUAUUUGAAUCUUAAUCUAGCUACACAUUCCUCUUAUUUACCCAUAGAAUGAAUUAGGAUGUAGAACUCCAGUCCAGAGAAGGAGUAACCUAAAAGACUGAUCGUUUCCCCAGGUGCCUUCUACCUAUCAGUUGCCAUCAAUUUGGCUUCUUCUAUUGCUGCUCUCUAAAAAUAAAGGGGAAAUUCUUUUUUCAGAAACCAUGAUUACCUGGCUGACUGUGUUUCCUUACUUUUCCAUUUCUACUGUGGCAACUCUAGCCAUUUAGUAAAUAUGAAGAUAAAAGCUCAUUUAAGAGCAGAAUGACUCAGGAUUACAGAGUAAAGGAAACAGAUGUACCUGCCCAUGCAGUUGAGGCAACUAGAAGGAUGGGCUUCAACUAAGAGAUCCUCACUGAACAAAUUGAGGAAAGGGUAAGAAACUCUGUCUACUCAAUCUUGCCUGGAGUAGCUGGUGAACUGUUAGAAACAGAAAAACAUACUGCAAGUUCCUCCUUCCUGUCUAAUGUUCAGAAAAAGUCCUGAGUGUCUUGAGUGCCCCAACCCCCAGCACAGCAUGGUAAUAGUCAUCAAAUGCUAAGCCGUGUUUUCACUGGUACCUCUUCUCUCCUUUCACAUAUAUAUUUUUUGAACUUCCUUUUGGAUUAGGACUCUUCCUCCCCCCGCCCAUUCAUACACCUCAUGUCUAUUGUUUUCUAGAAGGUUUCCUACUCACUACUUUUAUUUUUUUUCUCAGAGAGACCCUAGACAAUUGUUUCACCCUAAGAUGGAGGAAAGAUCCCUGGGUGACCGUUUGAAGAAAUAUUUUCCAAGACAACAACCCAUUCUAAGUUGUAUUAUAGCUUGCAAGUAUAUUCACUUCCCUGGAAGAACCCCGGCCUACUGAUAUCAAGCUCAGCUGUAUGAUGUGCUUGAGCUAAUACAACGUGAGCAUACAUGAUACAUGCUAUCACCUUCCAGAAGCUCUGGAAGGCACUGUGAAAGUCUGCCAGUUCUUUUGCUUCUGCCUCCUCCUGUGAAAAUGUCACAUCUCACAGAGAUAUUUCUUCUUUAUUCUGGACCCAGGAAUAAAAGGACACUUGGAGCAGAGCCAAAUGGAAUCAAGCAGAGACAAAACAUCUGCAGCCACCACUACAUAAUGUAGUCUGUUGUUGUAAGCCUCUAGGAUUUGGGGUGUCUAUAUGAAUGUAGCAAAACUGACUAAAAUAUCCCCUGACCAGAGGCAUUAGAAAUGGAUUUUGUGAAUGACAAAUGAACUUUAUUGGGUUAAGAACCUAAGGUUUUUGAUUUAUGUUAAUACUACUAUUACCCUCAACUACUAUUCCUCCCCACUUUCAAUACCUUAAAACACCCAUUAGCCCCUCAAACAGAUGAGCUAUAAUGACAUGAAAGGGAAAUUCCCAAGAUCCUAAAACUGGGUAGGACUAAAAGGAUCCAGUUUGAAAUUUCUCCAAAAAGCUGGACAGUGGUGAUCAUCCACCACCCCCAUUUUCUGUAAGUCAUCACAUUACAAGCAAAGAAUAGCAGCAUUAGCCUCUGUCUUUGUAAUAGCCACAUAGAUAAACUUGAAUUUUCUUUUUACCUUUACCCUAAUUUGCUCCCAGAUUUGCUAGGUAAAAAAAAGCAACAUAAUUUUAGAAAAAAUAACGUCCUUUCCAGCUGCCACUGCAACCUGAGGAUGCCCUUUCCGAUAAUCUCUAUAUUCUCUAAAAAGUUUCUUAUGUUUUCUGUUUCCCACAGAAAGCUUUGAGUUAUUUUCUCUCCAUGAUUUAAGCAUAGGUUAACCACUCUAUCUGCAUUUCUCUAGCUCCUGCCCUUGCUUAAUUAGACCUAGGAUUUCUUAUUUUUGGUAUAUGCUUUUCUCAAUUUACUCUUCCUUUUAAUUGUCCUCUUCUUUACACAUCAAAGUGAACACUCCUGCAUCAUGAUACUAUUGGAAAAUAGUUCUCCGUGAAUCCCUUGAGUUACUGUACAUCUUGAGAGCAGAAGAACUGAUAGAUUUUUGUUCUACACUAUCUUUUUCAAGGAUAUUUAUAUAGCAAACAGCCUUGGAAAACAUAGUGUCUUGCUCCCGAGCAAAGAGCAAAAUUGUUUGCUGUCCAUUAUAAUAAAAAUAAUGCGCCAGGCACGGUGGCUCAAGCCUGUAAUCCCAGCACUUUGGGAGGCCGAGGCAGGUGGAUCACAAGGUCAAGAGAUCGAGACCAUCCUGCUCAACAUGGUGAAACCCCGUCUCUACCAGAAAUAGAAAAAAUUAGCUGGGCAUGGUGGCGCGUGCCUGUAAUCCCAGCUACUCAGGAAGCUGAGGCAGGAGAAUUGCCUGAACCUGGGAAGCGGAGGUUGCGGUGAGCCGAGAUUGUGCCAUUGCACUCCAGCCUGGGUGACAAGAGCAAAACUCCGUCUCAAAAAAAAAAAAAAAAAUGCUUCUGAUUGUCUGUGUCCCCACCCAAACCUCACCUUGAAUCGUAAUAAUCCCCAUGUGUCAAGGGGAGGGCCAGGUAGAGAUAAUUGUAUCAUAGGGGUGGUUUCCCCCAUACUGUUCUCACAGUAGUGAAUAAGUCUCAUGAGAUCUGAUGGUUUUAUAAGGGAGAGUUCCCCUGCACAAACUCUCCUGCCUGCAACCAUGUAAGAUGUGCCUUUCUCCUCCUUUGCGUUCUGCCAUGAUCGUGAGGCCUCCCCAGCCAUGUGAAAUGGUGAGUCCAUUAAACCCCUUGUUCUUUGUAAAUUACUCAGUCUCAGGUAUAUAUUUAUUAGCAGUGUGAGAAUAGAAUAAUAUAGUAAAUUUGUACUGGUAGAGUGGGGUGCUGCUCUAAAGAUACCCAAAAAUGUGGAAGUGAAUUUGGAACUGAGUAACAGGCAGAGGGUGGAACAGUUUGGAGGGCUCAGAAGAAGACAGGAAAAUGUGGGAAAGUUUGGAACUUCCUACAGACUUGGAGGACUCAGAAGACAGGAAGUUGUGGGAAAGUUUGGAACUUCCUAGAGAAUGGUUGAAUGGCUUGGACAAAAAUGCUGAUAGUGACAUGAAAUAUAAAGUCCAGGCUGAGGUGGUCUUACAUGGAGAUGAGGAACUUGUUGAGAACUGGAGUAAAGAUGACUCUUGCUAUGCAAAGCAACUGGUAACAUUUUGCCCUUGCCCUAGAGAUGUAUGGCACUUCAAACUUGAGAGGGAUGAUUUAGGGUAUCUGGCAGAAGAAAAUUCUAAGCAGCAAAGCAUUCAAAAGAAAGCAGAGAAUAAAAGUUUUAAAAAUUUGCAGCCUGAUGAUUCAGUAGAAAAGAAAAACCCAUUUUCUGGGGAGAGAUUCAAGCCAGCUGCAGAAAUUUGCAUAAGUUACAAGGAAUGGAAUUUUGAUCACCAAGACAAUGGGGAAAAUGUCUCCAGGACACGUCAGAGACUUACACAGCAGGCCCUCCCAUCACAGUUCCAGAGGGCUAGGAGGAAAAAAUGAAUUCCUGGACUGGGUCCAGGGCCCCCCUGCUGUGUGCAGCCUUGAGACUUGGUGCUCUGCAUCCCAGCUGCUCUAGCCAUGGCUAAAAAGAGCCAACAUACAACUCAGGCCAUGGCUUCAGAGGGUGCAAACCUCAAGCCUUGGCAGCUUCUAUGUGGUGUUGGUUCUGUGGGUGUGCAGAAGAAUUGAGUUUUGGGAACCUCUGCCUAGAUUUUAGAGGAUAUAUUUAGAAACACCUGGAUGUUCAGGCAGAGGUGUGCUGCAGGGGUGGAUCCCUUAGGGAAAACCUCUACUAGGGCAGUGUAGAAGGGAAAUGUGAAGUUGUAACCUCAUACAGAGUCCCUACUGGGGCACUGCCCAGUAGAGCUAUGAGAAGAGGGCCACCAACCUCCAGAUCCCAGAAUGGUCGAUCCACUGACAGCAUGCACUGGGCACCUGGAAAAGCUACAGACACUCAGUGCCAGCCUGUGAAAGCAGCCAGGGAACAGGGGAGUGUGAGGGGUGUACCCUGCAAAGCCGCAGGGGUGGAGAUGCCCAAGGUCAUGGAAGCCCACCAGGAAGACCUGGACGUGAGACAUGGAGUCAAAGGAGAUCAUUUUAAAGUUUAAUGACUGCCUUAUUAGAUUUUGGACUUUAAAGUUUAAUGACUGCCUUAUUAGAUUUUGGACUUGCAUGGCACCUGUAGCCCCUUUGUUUUGGUCAAUUUCUUCCAUUUGGAAUGGUUGUAUUUACCCAGUGCCUGUGGCCCCAUUGUAUCUAGGAAGUGACUAACUUGUUUUCAGUUUUACAGGGUCAUAGGUGGAAGGGACUUGCCUUGUCUAAGAUGAGGCUGGACCAUGGCCUUUUAGUUAAUACUGAAAUGAAUUAAGACUUUGGGGGACUGUCGGGAAGGCAUGACUGGUUUUUAAAUGUGAGGACAUGAGAUUUGGGAGGCGUCAGGUGCAGAAUGAUAUUAUUUGUUCCCCACUCCAAUCUCACCUUGACUUGUAAUAAUCCACACAUGUGAAAGACAGAGCCAAGUAGAGAUAAUUGAAUUAUGCAGGUGGUUUUUCCCUACUGUCCUUGUGGUAGUGAAUAAGUCUCAUGAGAUCUGAUGGUUUUAUAAAGGGCAUGCUCUCUUGCCUGCUAUCAUGUGAAACGUAUCUUUCUCCUUUGCUUUCUAUCAUGAUUGUAAGUCCUCCCAGCCAUGUGGAACUGUGACUCCAUUAAAGCUCUUUUUUCAUAUAAAUUACCCAGUAUCAGGUCUGUCUUUAUUAGCAGCAUAAGAACAGACUAAGAUAGCCUCCCUUUAGGGCAAAGAUUGGGUAGAUUGGCUUGCAGCCCACUAUAAAAAGUUGUGGUGUUCUAAGCUCAGAUUUCCUCAGCUUUGAAAAAAACCAACUAUGUCUAACCCACAGCAUUCAUCAAAAGCUACCUAUGUCACCUUUGAGAGUCUUAGAGAACAUGAGGAGCUGACACAAACAUGAAUCUCAUGCUACCUGCUGUGCUGUCAGUAGUAAAGUCCUUUGUCUCUGAACCAGGAGUUUCAUAUCUUCUGUCAGCAGCCAUAAAACUAUGUGGACUAACAUUUUAUUUUGCAAGUAGGGCAAAAUUAUGAAUCCUUCACAGUACUUGACAUAUACCACCUCCUGUAAGCUGUAUUUGUUAUGAAUUAAUACCCAUAAAUAUUCAUGUUUACAUUCACAUGUAUCAUAUAUACUUUCUCACUUUAAAAAAGGUCAUAAAAUCACAAUCUAUCCACAACACACACAAACAUGAUGAUCAUUUUAAUCCCAAAAGUUUGUUUGUUUGUUUGUUUUUUGAGACAGAGUCUCGGUUGCCCAGGCUGUAGUGCAAUGGUGUGAUCUCGGCUCACUGCAACCAGCACAGUUCCUUGCUCAAAUAAAAUGUUUGUUGAAUGACUGAACAAAUUUAAAAUUGGAAUAACGAUUGUACAUUAUUUACUAUAAAAUUAUCAACUCACUGAUACCUCUAGUUACUACUAAUAUUCUUGAUAGAAAGAAAGUUAAUAUUGACUUAGGUCUCCAAAACAGUAACCCAAAUAUAGUCAGUAUCUUCCAGAAGUGGGCAUGUUGGUUUUAAAAAGAAUGUAUAGAGGCAUCUCAUUCUUACAUGACAAGGAUUAAGGUUGGGUUUUUUCAUUUUCUGUAAAUAUUUUGGACUUUUGACCUUCAGUUGUUGCCACAAUAUCAUGUACAGCACUGAAAGCACUGAUUAUUAAAUAUCUCAUUCAACCUUUUUUUGACAAUCUUCUCUUUGUAAGGAAGUUUUAGCCCCUUGGGAUUUAAACAAAUAAAUGAGUAAAUUACAAUUCAAAAAGCAGCACAUUAUAUAAUACAAUUAAAAACACUGCAGCAUUAGAGAGAGGAACAAGUAAGCCUCAGUAUUGGGGUAUGUGGUAUGUACAAUAUUGAUAUUGACAUUCUAACUCAGUUUCAAGGCCUCAUUCACUUUUUAUUCUACUUUUGGCUUCUGACAUUUUGAUUUUUAUGAUACUGGUAAAAUAGUCCACUUCCUUUUUCUCUGUCCUGACAUCCUACUUUAGUAGUUUUUGCAACCAGCCUUUAUUUGCUUUUUAUCCCUCAAAGAAUUUCAUUUCAGGUACUUUGUUGUUCUGGGUUUUCUGGUGCUGAUCAUACAUGGUCACCUCCUGUUUGGAUCUAGUGUGGUUUGGAGUAGAGUAUCUGUGUUUAGUGUUUCUAAAAGCCUGUGAUGUAGGUUCUAACAUACAGACCUGUUUGAGAACUUCUGCUGUAGGGUCUCCUAUGACCCCACUCAUUUUGAAUUGAAAUGGAUUAUGCACACCAGUAAGCUCAUCCUAGUACUUGACAUUUACCCAGUUAAUUUCUCUCCACCAUAUAGACUCCUUUUCUCCCAUUCUCCUUUUUGACUAGAAGAGCUGGGGCUAGAACUGUGUGUUGUUCUGAUUAAGAGUUAACAUCAUCUUUCUAGGGAAAAAAACUAGAAUCCAGGCAAUUUUUGUCUUACCACAGCAGUUUGCACAGAACCAGACUCACAAGGAAUUAAUAAUCACAGCAGAAUUUGGUGUUAAACUCUUGCCAUCCUAGACCAAGUACAGAAGAAAGGGGAGGAGCAAAAGGGAAGUGGAAAAGGUUACAGCUUUCUACCUCUCCUGGUAGAAUAGCACACAGGGAGAGUAAAGAAAGGACUGGGAUUUGCCAUGGCAGCCUGAAGCUCCUCACAGAAACCAAGAACUGCCUUGUCCAGACAUGAGAGGAAAAGCACUUUCUCAGUGAGUCUCGGCAGAUCCUAUGGUAGCUUCAUAGACUAGAGGUGUACUCUGCUUUAGAGAGAUAGCUGUAGUGACGGCCGUCUUUAUUUAUGCAGAAAGCCACACAUUUCUGGUUGUGAACAGGCAACCAGUGGUUAGGAUGAGCAAUAACAGGAAACCCACCCGCCACUCUCUUAAAAGCAUGUAACUGUAAAUUGUGCACAUUCUUACAUUUUAAACAUGUUUACAUGUAAAGUUAAGGUGCUGAAUUAUAAUCACAUUGCAGCAAUCAUUUAUAUUUAUGUCCUUUAGUCUUCCAACAAUCAGAGAAAGUAUCAUUACACAGUGGAAUUUAUUUCCAUAUCCAGGUGCUAUUUGAAACACUGACUUAAGGAUCUCUGUCAUUUUAAGUGGCCAGUGGAAAGCUGAGUGGUGUGAGUGGGUCCAAGGGUUCUUACUUUCAUGGCUCUGUAAUCUGAGACUCAAGGGCUGCUGUUUGAUUAAUUGAUUAACUGAUUUUAUUUAUUAAUUCAUAAAACAUUUACUGAGUGCCUAUUAUGUGCUAAGCAUUAUGUAAAGUGGUAAAGAUAAGAAAAGAAAUCACCAUCUCAGUGAACUUUUGCAGUAGACAAGGGAACAGUUUCAAAACAUUGCUAUAAACUGGGCGCGGUGGCUCACAACUGUAAUCCCAGCACUCGGGGAGGCCAAGGUGGGUGGAUCAUUUGAGGUCAGGAGUUCAAGACCAGCCUGACCAACAUGGUGAAACCCUGUCUCUAGUGAAAAUACAAAAAUUAGCUGGGUGUGGUGGCAGGCACCUGUAAUCCCAGCUAUUUGGGAGGCUGAGACAGGAGAAUUGCUUGAACCUGGGAGGUGGAGGUUGCAGUAUCUGAUGGAUAGCUCCAUAUAUGAGUUAAACCUGAAAAGGUUGUACAGGCUGAAGAUAUAAAUUUGAGACCAGAGAUGGAUUGGUAGAACAGACCUUUGAGGGAGUAUAUUAAAGAAUCAAGUAUGAAAUUCAAGGCUGGUGUUUCUCAAGCUUUAGGGUAUGUGCAGAUCACCCAAGUAUCCUGUCAAAAUACAAGUUCUGAUUCAGUAAACUUGGAGUGGGGUCUAAUCAUCAUAAUUUCCAACAAACUUCCAGAUGAUAUUGAUGCUGCAAGUAUGCAGACCACACUUUGAGUAGCAAUACUGUAGAAAACACUCGUGUUUAAGGACAGGAAGAUGAAGAAAAGUCCACAAAAAGGAUUGAGUAGAAGUCAAAGAUUUAAGAAGAGAGUUGGCUGUGGUAGUGGGAGGUGUGGGGGACCAUAAAUAGGAGUAUUGUCUUGGAAUCCAAGAAAAGAGAGAAUUCCGUAAAGAAGAAAAUGUUCAACAAAGUCAAAGGCUACUAACAAGUAGAGUAAAAUGGUCCGGUAAAUGUCUAUGAAAUCGGCAACUUGAAAAUAAUUUUGAACUUUGACAGAAGAGUUUUUGUAUGAUGGAGAGAGAAGUAAAUUAUAGUGGGAGGCUAACUAACAGUUACGGAAAUAAAUGGUGGUUGAAGAAAUAGACACAGCGAGAAUGGAUUUUUUUGUUUGUUUGUAAACAGUAACAACAACAAACAUUUACCGUGAUAGGAAAGAGAGAAAUUGGGUGACAGUUUAGGAGAGACAAAGAUUUGUAAAGUGUCAUUAUUUUUAAGAUUAUAAAAGACAUGAGGUUUGUGGUAGGUAGAAUAAUUCCUUCUUUCCUAAUCUCCUGGAAUUGUAAAUGUCCUGACCCUUCUGCAAACAGUACUUUGCAACUGUGAUUAAAUUAAGGAUUUUGAGAUGGAGAGAUUAUCCUUGGAUUAUUCAGAUGUGCCCUGUGUAAUCACAAAGAUCCUUUAAAGAAGGGAGCAGGAGAAGAAGAAAGAGUGCUGUGAGCCAAGAAAUGCCAGUGGCCCCGAAGAACCACAAAAGACAAGAAACUGAUUCUUAUCUUAGAGCAUCCAGAAAGAACACAGCACAGCACUGCAGACACCUUGAUUUUAGACCAGUGAGACUUCUGACAUCCUUUCAGAACUGUAAGAUAAAGAGAAAUUUGUGUUGUUUAAGCCAAAAAGUUUGUGAUAAUUGUAUUGCACCAAUAGGAAACUAGUACAAGAAUCUUUAAUAUGUGAAUCAAAGAAAUUGUAAGGGACAGCCGGUAAUAUAUCUUCUUCACUCAUCAAGGGAUCACAACUGACACUCCCAUAACAAAGACGGAUUAGCCAGAGAAAAGCAUAACAAAUUUAUUUAACCAAAGCUUUAUGUGGCAUGACAGGCAUCAUAAAUGAAGACCCAGAGACCCCCAGAGAAAACUGUGUAUUUUUAUGGACAGCCAUACAGAAGUGUGAUUGGAGGACAAAAACCCAUGUUCUAAUGGUAAUAAAAUGGAGGAAAUUCAGGAAGUCCUGUUAAUUCAAAUUCUUCUUUGCUUCCAGGAAUAGGGCAAGGCCUUACUUCUGGAAUGGGGACCUUAUGACCUAUUUUAAGAGGAAUUUUUAAUGACCGUGCUUGAGAGAAGAUGGGAGAAGGUCAGAGAGUGACCGCCUAAGAAGAAUGAGGAUGAGAAGAAAAAAUAGACUCUCCUACUAUGGAGGUGCAGAGUUUUCUUCAAGACAUUAGGUGUAAAGCUAUGGACAGAGUAACUAUAAACCACCCUUUCAUGUGCAUCCUUGUCUAUGAAAUGGGGACCAUAAUGCCACGUUCAUGAAGAUAAAAUGAAGUAACAUGUAAAACGGCUAGGCAAACAAGAUGAGUGCAAAGGUGUGGUUCUCUUGCCCAUUUUAAGUGCUUUCCGGAAGAAUGCUUUGCUGCAGUCCAGGGCAUGGCAGCUGCUUCAUUGUAACUCAAUACUGGAAACUGGCUCCCCCAAAUAAUCUCCACAGUAAGCUGAGCUCUGUUGAGUGUAUGAAAAAUUGAGAGGGAGACGACCUUGACCCUGGCGUGUCUGGACUACUUCUCCUCUGAAUGUUCCUAGGCUAAAACCAAACAUUCUUAGUAGAUAAUCCGUUCCCUUAGCCCUUUCUGUUUCUACCGCGUCGCAUGCCCUCUCUGGCUAAAUGCUCUCUCCUCCUUCCCAGAUUCACAUUUAAUAAGGAGAAGGUCUCCCAGCAGCUCCUCCAGACCGAGCCACACCUCUGCCUGGGAAUCUGGUGCUGCGGUUGCAGGAGCCCGCUGUGCGCCUUCUGGUUUCCAUGGAGACCCUGCUUGGUGUCGCCGGAGGCUCCGGAGCUCGAGGGAAACCUAAGCGUUUGUAUUUAAAUGAGGGAAAGUGGGGGGGAGGGGAAGCAAGAGGAAGGGAACAGGAGAGAGGUCGAUGGUGGAGGUGAGCCGGCGGGCGUUCAUGGACUUAGGGGACUAGAAAAAUCCAGCUGGGUUACUCAGUCAUCUCGCGAUCGCAGGAGAAAUCAGAGGAGGCAGCAGGGGGCAGAGGUGUUUAUUUCGUGCGUGAGAAAUAUCCGACUCCUUUCUGACAUCCGGGAGUAAGGGAUAGGCAACUAGGAAUUCCUUUUCAUGUGUCUGGCUCCUGGCUGACAGUGCUGAUCUGUUUCGUUUCCAAGAAGCAAGGGAGAGUUCUCGCUCUGCCCAGAGUCUCAAGUCUUAAAGAUUCAUCGCUGCUAUGGGAGGGGGCACACCUCUAUUUCACUCUCGACCUUUUUUCCUGCAACAUAACUAAAUGGAAGCUCUGGAAAGACAGAUUCCAAAAGCUUUGGGGUCUGGAUUAACUGCUGUUUAUUGGCUGACAUUCUAGCUGGAGGUUGGGUGAAUAGGAGGAGGUUGGGCAGAAUGUAUGCUAAGAUUGAAUUGCACUACGGUUCAGAUGACGUCAGCUUGAAUAAACGUCUGACCUAGUGAAUGUUAAAUGUGUCUGAGUGACUGAAUCUUCAGAAGGGAUCGAUGGCAGAAACCUCCAUGAAAGGACCAUGCCACUUCUUUAAGAUACUAAGCAUGUGAUUCUGCUUAUCACCCCUGCAACUCCCAGAGCUCUCUCUGGUAGAUUCUCAGCUUUCUGCUAUAAUCGCUGGAACAUUACUUACUGUCCUAGAUAACUGGAUCACGUGGAGUUUGCACGAAAAAAGGAAGUCUCUGAAAAAAGAAAAAGCCGUUAUAAGCCAUCAGAAUGCCUGCUAAUGUUACAAAGUGAAAGCAAUUCAAUUUAAUAAACACUUUAAGAGGUCUA